ensembl:snoRNA SNORD115 Small nucleolar RNA SNORD115
GGGUCAAUUAUGAGACCUCAUACUGAGAAGAGGUAAUGACUUAAAAAUCGUACUCUGUAGAAUUACACUGAGGCCU